UACACAACCAGGAAGGACUUGCCAAAGGUAAUGAUACUUGAGUUCGAUUUUAAAGAAUCAGUAGGAUUUUAGCUAGGUGAAGAAGGGAGGGAAGAUCUGAAGUGUGUUUGGGGCACCUGG